UUUGUGGAAAGAUCUUCCCUUUGUAGUUUCCAUGGGAAUGUGUGUGGUAGAAAAUUCCUGAGCACAUGCAGAGCACCAACUACAAAGGAGUCUGAGAGAUGUAUUUUUCAGCAUUCAGACUAUGAACCAAUCCCAGGUGUUAAGAAUGUGAUUCAAGAAGAAAAUUGAAAAACAACUACAUGAAUGCUUUAUCUAGCUGUAUAAGAGAUUCUUUUUCACUUCAUGGGUGGAAAUGCUAAAUCUGAAGACCAAUAAGUCUUUAAGUCAAAUAACUAUUUUAUUAGUUUUCAUACAAGGAAUGAUGGACAACCUGUGGUCAAUUAUGAUCAAUUUAGCUUAAGCCAUUUGGAAACAACCACAAUUUCCAAUUCAAAGUUAUCUCUUCCAGAAAUUAUGGAAUGACAUUAUCCACAGUAUGACAUGAAUUAGAUGUCAUAAACCUGAGAUUUCAUAACCUAUGAGUAAACAUUUGAGAGUAAAGCAGUUGGAUUUAUAAGCAGUUAAAACACAAAAUAAAAUUUUAAAGACUGGUCUACAAGU